GGCUGCUACUGACAUUGGAAAAUUAUAUGCGAAGAGGGGGAAAAAAAGGAAAUAACAAAACCUUGUAUUUUCACCUUAAAAUAGGUGGUAUUGGGAAGAGAUGCCAACUGGAUAAAAUGAGAGCAAAGAAGUGGAAAGAAGACCAUCUGAAAACAGAAGAAAGGAAGCUGGGAUUCCAUUUUUUGCCACAGUGAUUCUUCACUGUGCAAGUGGAGAGCAGAAGUGGACUGUGCCCAUGGUACCAUGCCCCUCCAUGCUGUGUGCUCUCCCUACUCCACUUAUUACUUAAGGAAAACAUAAAGUCCAGAGAAGAAUGGAAUUCUCUACAUAUGAAUCAGGAGUUCUUUCAGAAACAUGUAACAGAGACCUACUGUUGGGAACUCAAAGCUACAGGUGAUGAGUCCCUAUAGACUAUAUGUGUUUCUGGAAUGUAAGGAGAAAGACGGAAGAGGAAAGAGACAAAGUUGGAGAAAACAACACAAAAGGGCUGUGACCGUUCGUGAGCCAGCGGAGGUCCUCAGCAGAGUGGACAUGAGCAGCCUGCAUGGAGACAAAUCAUGGUGUGGAGGGGAGACCAGCGGGUACAACCAGAGUUCAUAUGAUUCCUGCUCUGAUCAUCUCUCCAACAUGAGAAGAUGGAGACAGCGUUGGAUAGGAUGUCAGCGGACGUGUGCCUGACUUGCCUCUUGCUUCCACAGGUUAGCCAAACGACCACAGGUUCCCACCUGAAAAUAAAGUUGAAUGAACCAGGUGAUCUUUCGGGAGCCUUCUAAAUUGAGAUUCAGUGGCCAGGAAAUUAUAAUGGAGACCAGGAAAAGUAUGUGGCGUUUCACUGAGUGUGACCUCUUGUUAAGCAAGCAGCAGCCUCGGAUGUGGGUUGAGAACACAGGCUUUGGAAUCCAGCAGACUUGGGUUUGAAUCCUGGUCCUGCCACUUUUCAUCUUCCGGCUUAAGUCUUAGGCUUCGCAUUUCUGAGACAGAAAAAAAGUACCUACUUCAACGUGUCUUCAUGAAGAAUGCACUAAGAGGGGCUCUGGGAGUACCCCGCCCAGGGCUAAGCACGGAAGGAACACUUCCUACACAGAGCUAGCCCUGCGGGGGGAGCGCAGGGGCAGAGCUGAUGCGCUUGGGCACAGACUGCCUCAGUGCAGAACCGAAAAGCUUACUCCAAUCAUUUAUUCUUCUGUACAUUCAUUCAAUUCAUCCUACAUCUGCCCAGUGAGUAUUCGCACGGGCAUGCAGACAGCCAUGACCUGCGGCUGCAGCCUCCACCAGGCGGUUUUUAUAUUCUCACUCCAGCUUCCCCCAAGGUGCUGGGAUUGCAAGAAUGAGGAGUGUUUGGAAUAGUUAUCAUUAUGUUAUCUUUAAAAGUAUCAAGCUCCUGGUUUUAAUUAGUCUUGGCCCCCGGACUUUUACAUGAAACGAAAAGUCAGUGAGCUCAUGCUGUGGUGUCUAUUUCCGGAGCUGAUGUGUUUAGUCAUUUGCGUGUGAAACUGCCAGAGGCAGACUGGGUUACUGUCCUAUGGAGCAUCUGCACAGUGUUUAUCAUUUUGGCAUUUGCGAACUAUGUAAAUACGUGCAGACCCAUGACAACCUCAGGAUUUUGUUUCCAAAUGUGCCAUCAAUGAAAAACGGUGCAAAUGAGCAAAGUCAUCUAGACACAAUUUGGGUGGAGAGUAAGGAUGGGAAUUACAAUGUGUUUCCAAGAGCUCUGGGAGUGAAAAUCCGUUCCCAUCAUUGCAAAACAAUAAAGUCUUUGGAAGCACAAUAAUGUGGAGAAUGGCUUUAGAAUCAGGCUCGCCUUUAUUUUGGAAG